rnacentral:tRNA from 1 species
GGGGGUAUAGCUCAGUGGUAGAGCGCUCCCUUAGCAUGGGAGACGGGCUCCGGGGUUCAAUUCCCCAUACCGUCC